rnacentral:rRNA from 1 species
UACGUAGGGGGCUAGCGUUAUCCGGAAUUACUGGGCGUAAAGGCUGCGUAGGUGGUUUCUUAAGUCAGAGGUGAAAGGCUACGGCUCAACCGUAGUAAGCCUUUGAAACUGGGGAACUUGAGUGCAGGAGAGGAGAGUGGAAUUCCUAGUGUAGCGGUGAAAUGCGUAGAUAUUAGGAGGAACACCAGUUGCGAAGGCGGCUCUCUGGACUGUAACUGACACUGAGGCACGAAAGCGUGGGGAGCAAACAGG